rnacentral:tRNA from 1 species
GCCUGGAUGGCUCAGUCGGUUAAGCGUCUGACUUCGGCUCAGGUCAUGAUCUCGUGGCUCAUGAGUUCAAGCCCCGUAUCAGGCU